CCCCUCGCGGGCCACGUUGGUUAAAUGAACGGAUGCAGGAUACAGAGGGCCUGUGGAUAUAGACGGCUGACUGAAUGGAAUGUGUAUUGGAGAAAAAAUAACAGAGUCUGGCUAAAGAGAUGAAGAGCUCAUGAGGGCGUGUCUCAAUUUAAACAAGAGUAGCAUUGGCAAUUGUUGUCCUUAGCAGCAGCCGACAAGGCGGAAUUGGAAUGGUGCUGCUCCUGACUACCUCUACUCCACGCUAGGCUUAGGGGCUGGAGUGACCCAAGCCCUCAGGGACCUGCAGCGGCUGAAGUCCUCUCAGCACCUGCAAUAUCCCAGAGGGCAAAGACAGGGCCAAAUACUGGAUUCUGGAUUCUCUUCAUUGUUGUCCCCCUGCAAGUGGAGAGGUAUCCAGGCUGGGCCUUGUCCUAAGAUAUGACGGAACUGAAUUCUUCCAGCAAGCAUGUGAGCUUGGAAGAGAACACCAUGCGCCACACGAGAAUGCAUACUGGCCAACACCCUGUGCAAAGAUCCAGAGAAGCUGUGCUCAGACUCCUGACUCAUGAAAAUAGUGAACUUAUAAAUGUAUAUUGUUUUAAGAUGCUAAAUUUGUGGUGAUGUGUUACAUGGCAAUAGAAAACUAAUAGAGAUAAAACUUGACAUUUGAAGUGCAUCACAUAAUGAAAUUAGUAGAUGAGAAUCUCUCUAGAAACAAGUAAAAUUUUGAGUUAAAAUGAGAGACUGGACAUAUAAUUCCUCCUCCCUCCAAAAUCCCAGGAAAUGAGUAGUUAAAAAAAUUUUUUUUUAAUUUUACAAGAUAAGAACAACAAGCAGAGAUACUUGAAGUAGGGGCUGGUUCUUCUUCACUCCCUUUGUUAUAUAACUGAACUUCCUCACACUUGAGAAGUACAUUUCCCUGCUCCUUGACUUUCAACUCAGCCAUGUGGCUUGCUUUGGCCAAUGAGUUAUAGGUAGACGUGAUGUGACCAGAGGUUUAGAACUCAUCACUGAUCUUGAAACCACCUUUGCAAAAUUAUGACUGAGACAGUGAAACAGAUCUAACUUAGCCAACUCCGUCUUCUUCCAACCUGCAGGCUGUGCUUGUUCAUUCUGGGUGUAGGCUGAACUAACUUUGGGAGAAACUUAGUUUAUAGUUUAAAACAAAGAUGAUAACAGCCCUUUCCCAAAGCAGACCUUCUUCUUGCCUGGGGACUAGAUUGCCUUUGUAGGACUGACAGUAGCCACGAGAUUAGAAAUUAUGAUUUAGGAAUCGUGCAGCUGGAGGCUACAAGAUUCUGACCCUCCCUAAAUUGCUCCUAAGAUCAAUGCUUGAGAUAUUUUGCAGACCCUGCACUUGAUGGCACCACUCAGAUCAAUAAACUGGCUCAUCUGAUCUUGUGGCCCCUUACCCAGGAACUGACUCAUCACAAGAAGACAGCUUCAACUCCCUAUGAUUUCAUCUUUGACCAAUCAGCACUCCUGGCUCACCGGCUUCCCACACACCCACCAAGUUGUUCUUAAAAACUCUGCUCUCCGAAUGCUCGGGGAGACUGAUUUGAGUAAUAAUAAAACUCUGUUCUCCCACA
ensembl:lncRNA novel transcript